UACGAAGGGGGCUAGCGUUGUUCGGAAUUACUGGGCGUAAAGGGCGCGUAGGCGGUGUGUCAAGUCAGGCGUGAAAGCCCCGGGCUCAACCUGGGAACCGCGCUUGAGACUGGCACGCUCGAGUUCGGGAGAGGAUGGUGGAAUUCCCAGUGUAGAGGUGAAAUUCGUAGAUAUUGGGGAAGAACACCGAUGGCGAAGGCAGCCAUCUGGACCGACACUGACGCUGAGGCGCGAAAGCGUGGGGGAGCAAACAGG
rnacentral:rRNA from 1 species